GCUGGUUGCUCAGUGGUUAGAGCGUCAGCCUUCAGACUGAAGGGUCUCGGGUUCAAUUCCCGGUCCAGGGCA
rnacentral:tRNA from 1 species